GAUACGGUGUCCCCUCCGGCGCCCACCCGUCCUGUAGGAGGACACCUCCCGUCCACCUGGUCCCCUCGAGCCGACCUGAGGUGUGGAGACGUUCUGCGCGUGAACACCUACGGCAGCCCCGUGUGGCGGUGAGAAGGCGAACACUACUUCCUUCACACCGGUGUCCGCAGCAGCGACUCCGUCACUGGGAUGCCACACGCACCCGCGUCGCGGUGACCACCUGGUGGCGGUUUGCACGGAAGGGGAUGGGCGCCGCUCUGCCUGGCUCGGGUCCCGGCAGCGGGCACGGGGCUGCUUCCUGCGCCUGUCCUGGGUGCUCCAGCCUGCGGGAGCCGAGGCCUCCAGGCCUGCCUCACCCGUCCCAUCUGCGACACCGACCGACUGGCUCGUGGAGUGUUCCCCGGCCGCCGCGAGGCCCGAGUCCUGCAGGGUCCGUGGGUGGGCCGACGCGCACAGAGCACAGGUCUGCGUGUCGAUCCUGCCUGGGGCUAUAGGCCUGUGCGUGUGCCUUUUGUCAA